CCUACGGGAGGCAGCAGUGGGGAAUAUUGGGCAAUGGACGCAAGUCUGACGCAGCAACGCCGCGUGAAGGAAGAAGGCUUUCGGGUCGUAAACUUCUUUUAAGGGGGAAGAGCAGAAGACGGUAUCCCUUGAAUAAGCCACGGCUAACUACGUGCCAGCAGCCGCGGUAAUACGUAGGUGGCAAGCGUUGUCCGGAUUUACUGGGUGUAAAGGGCGGGCAGCCGGGAAGACAAGUCAGAAGUGAAAUCCCACGGCUCAACCGCGGUACUGCCUGUGACACUGUUUUUCUUGAGUAUCAGAGAGGAAAGCAGAAUUCCUGGUGUAGCGGUGAAAUGCGUAGAUAUUAGGAAGAACACCAGUAGCGAAGGCGGAUUACUGGACGACAACUGACGGUGAGGCGCGAAAGCGUGGGGAGCAAACAGGAUUAGAUACCCGAGUAGUC
rnacentral:rRNA from 1 species